CAGCCGCCGCGGGAAUACGGAGGGUGCAAGCGUUAAUCGGAAUUACUGGGCGUAAUGCGUGCGUAGGCGGUUCGUUAAGUCUGUUGUGAAAGCCCCGGGCUCAACCUGGGAAUGGCAAUGGAUACUGGCGAGCUAGAGUGCGUCAGAGGAUGGUGGAAUUCCCGGUGUAGCGGUGAAAUGCGUAGAGAUCGGGAGGAAUACCGAUGGCGAAGGCGGCCCCCUGGACGAAGACUGACGCUCAGGUACGAAAGCGUGGGGAGCAAACAGGAUUAGAUACCCGCGUAGUCCCUGUCUCUUAUAC
rnacentral:rRNA from 1 species